GCCACUGUAGCUCAGCGGUUGCACAUGGGUCCGCCCGUGUGCCGCGAAAGAGCGGCGGUUUCGUAAACCGCAGGCCGGGGGUUCAAUACCCUCCAGUGGCUCCA
rnacentral:tRNA from 1 species